rnacentral:rRNA from 1 species
CCUACGGGCGGCAGCAGUCGAGAAUCAUUCACAAUGGGGGAAACCCUGAUGGUGCGACGCCGCGUGGGGGAAUGAAGGUCUUCGGAUUGUAAACCCCUGUCAUGUGGGAGCAAAUUAAAAAGAUAGUACCACAAGAGGAAGAGACGGCUAACUCUGUGCCAGCAGCCGCGGUAAUACAGAGGUCUCAAGCGUUGUUCGGAAUCACUGGGCGUAAAGCGUGCGGAGGCUGUUUCGUAAGUCGUGUGUGAAAGGCGCGGGCUCAACCCGCGGACGGCACAUGAUACUGCGAGACUAGAGUAAUGGAGGGGGAACCGGAAUUCUCGGUGUAGCAGUGAAAUGCGUAGAUAUCGGGAGGAACACUCGUGGCGAAGGCGGGUUCCUGGACAUUAACUGACGCUGAGGCACGAAGGCCAGGGGAGCGAACGGGAUUAGAUACCCGGGUAGUC